rnacentral:lncRNA from 1 species
GCGUUGUAUCUUAAUCCAUGGUCGAAUUGCGAGUAGAAAUUUUUAUAAACCAGUAAAGGCUGCAAUGUAGUUUUUUCGAUCCGUCUUUCACAGCAAAUAACGUCACAAUAACAGCAUGUAUUUUCCUCUCUAGUGAACAAACACUCUCCCUUUCCAUUGAGUUAUAAUUUCCGCAACGAACUAGUCGCUAUAACGUAAAAAAAGCGGUUAUUUCAGAACAAAAUCGCCCAAGCAUAAACGUACGCCAUCUUGUC